GGAGUCACAAUAAACACACUAAAUAAAGUCAUGAUUGUGUAACUCUAGUGUAUAUGAGUGUGUUGUCAGCACAAGCUGUUGUAAAUCCUGCCCACUUCUUUGCAUUGUCAGCACAUGCUUCAGUGCUCUGAGAGUGUUUAUAGUGCUGUGAGUUUAACACUUCAUGACUGAGAGCAGAACACACACACUCUUCAUCAUCACACAAGACUAAACUACAACUAUGAACAACAUCUGCAUCUUCAUCUGGACCAUUGCACUGUUUGCUCAAGAAUCCAGAGGAGUGACUCUGACUCAACCUGAAGUUAAAACUGUCCAACUGAGUCAAACGGCAACAAUAGAGUGUCAUAUAGAUGUAGGAAUAUACAGCAGCUACUUAGCCUGGUAUCAGCAGAAACCUGGAGAAGCUCCUAAACUCCUGAUUAAAUAUAUAAGCAGCCGUUAUACUGGAACUCCAUCUAGAUUCAGUGGCAGUGGAUCUGGCAGUGAUUUUACUCUGAGUAUCAGUGGAGUCCAGACUGAAGAUACAGGAGAUUAUUACUGUCAGAGUUAUCACAGUGGUCCAGUGUUCACACAGUGA